rnacentral:rRNA from 1 species
GUGGAUUAGAUACCCUGGUAGUCCACGCCCUAAACGAUGCGAACUGGACGUUGGGUGCAACUUGGCACUCAGUGUCGAAGCUAACGCGUUAAGUUCGCCGCCUGGGGAGUACGGUCGCAAGACUGAAACUCAAAGGAAUUGACGGGGGCCCGCACAAGCGGUGGAGUAUGUGGUUUAAUUCGAUGCAACGCGAAGAACCUUACCUGGUCUUGACAUGUCCGGAAUCCUGCAGAGAUGCGGGAGUGCCUUCGGGAAUCGGAACACAGGUGCUGCACGGCUGUCGACAGCU